GAUGAAGAACGCAGCGAAAUGCGAUACGUAAUGUGAAUUGCAGAAUUCAGUGAAUCAUCGAAUCUUUGAACGCAUAUUGCGCUCUCUGGUAUUCCGGAGAGCAUGGUUGUUUGAGUAUCAGUAAACACCUCAACUUCCAUAUCUUUUUUGAAAUGGGAGUUGGACUUGAGUGAUCCCAACGCUUUUCCUCACCGAAAAGUGGCGGGUUACUUGAAAUGCAGGUGCAGCUGGACUUUUCUCUGAGCUAUAAGCAUAUCUAUUUAGUCUGCCUAAAAAACAGAUUAUUACCUUUGCUGCAGCUAACAUAAAGGAGAUUAGUUCUUGUGCUGACUGAUGCAGGAUUCACAAAGACAGGCUUCGGCCGACUUUGUAAACUCGAUCUCAAAUCAAGUAAGACUACCCGCUGAACUUAAGCAUAUCAAUAAGCGGAGGA
rnacentral:misc_RNA from 1 species